rnacentral:lncRNA from 1 species
AAAGGAGAAGAACUGGGACCAUCAGAGCAAAGGUAGAGUUAACCACAAAGAAUGAAAAAGUCACUCCUUAGUUACUCACUGCCAGUUCUGCACAUUGGUGUAACUGGAACCAGAGACUCUUUUCUUCACCCUUGGACUCAUAAGUUUAUUUCUGAAUAUUUUAGAUAAGUGGCUGGAAAUGACUGUGGAAGAAAUUAUUAUUAUUAUUAUUAUUAUUAUUAUUAUUAUUAUUAUUAUUGAAGCAAUGAUGCUAUCAAGAAUGCUACCUGGAUUCGGCUGUUUUUCAGGUGUUGCUGUCGAAUGCCAGGUGCAACUCCUACAGUUCUCACACUCUGCCCCAGCCUGAAGCUGACUGUGAUGAAUGGUGAAGCCUCUGUCAUAACGUUGGCAGCUCUCAGCAUUAGGUUAUAUUAAUGGGGACCUUGCGUGCCAUCCACUUAAAUAUGCAAACUGAAGGACCAGAACUGUACUUGUAGAUGUACUAACUGUGGUGGCUCACAGGGACCCCAGGGAACAUCUCUAUAACCUGUUUGAAUGGUGUCGAUUUAGACAGAUUGCAGGGUCAGAGGGUCUACUCAGAUUCCCCAAACAAUGUGAAACCUGGUAUGGCUGGAGUUUUCAUAACCUAGGCUGUUCUACUAGAAGACGGUGCUGACCCAGGUGGCUGAGAGCAAAUAGCAUGGCUGCACCAGUGUCAGCUCUGGCUUUGAUAUGUGACAUGGCAGGAGGCCCAGACUUGAGAGUAUUCCCUCUGGAAAGCCUCCAGCCUACAGCUUGGGGAUGGGACCUGGCACAGGCUCACCCUAGGACAGCAUCUUACUCUAAGGGGUCAUUGGAAUCUCUAGUCUGCCUCAGUAUUAGUUCUGCUGCUGACCAGUGCUGGCUUUGAAAGUAUUCUCUUGCCAGGGAUGUGGCUCCUGUUGUUUUAGAGGGAAACGAAGACAGGAGGAAAAAUCAAGCUGGCCAUCUCAUAUAGAGCAGUGGACUUUGAGUAGUCAAGCACCUAUCAACACCGGUUAGGAAGUUCUAGAAACUGGUUCAGAAUGGCCCAACUCUGAGUGUACCGGAUGGAAAGUGUGAGUGGACACUACAUGUCCAGAGAGUUCCCAUCCUCCCAUCCCACUGCCCCGAUCCUGGAGCCUGCUGUGGAGUUAGAACCCAGAGCUCCAUUCAGCGACAGCUAAGUCUACUAUGAUUGGAACCUUCUUGGUUCCAAUAUAGUUCUGGAAGGUAAACGGCAGGCGAGCCAUGCCCAGCAUUUGCAGGGUGUGAGGGUCUCCAGCAAGUGGGGACAGAGGGAGACCUGCACCGCCAGGGUUGGGGUUCCUCCUCCUGGCUCAAGCUCUGUUUUCUAAUGUGAAGCGAUGUUCUUUGUCAUUUCUAAAACCUCCUGUCAGUUUCUGGAUGUCCAAAUGCUGUUGAAUAUGGAUGUAACCAUAAAUUCCAGAGUGUUUUAUUUUGAGAUGAGAGUUUUGCUACAGUUUAUAUAGGCUAUUUUCCUAUUUAGACCUCAGGGCUAUCUUGGGACCCACUACUAAGUGUGACCCUCCCAGCAGCUUCAAUUCUGGGUAGACAAGUUACAUAACCUUUAAAUGUGAUAUUACUCAGCAGGAAGAAUGUGUUUCUCUCUUUUAACUUCUGGCAAUUUUUGUUUUAAAGGUCUAGAAAAAGACACUAGAAGAAAACAGAGGUAAAAGAAUUAAAGAUCAACUGUAAAAUAAACAUUCUCAUGGUAUACAAUUGUGAUAUCCGAAUAAACGUGUGUGCAUAAAAUUAUUUUAAAAGUGCUAUGAAACAG